AUUUGGGUUUUGAGCCACUUUGAAGUUUCUAAAGGUGCAGUGACUUGUUUUGGAGGCUGAAGUGGGAUGAUUGCUUGAAUACCGAAGUUUGAGAUCAGCCAGGACAACACGAAUCGAUAACCAAAAGCAAUGUUGGUUGCUUCCUGGAACUCAGUGUGGGGAGGUUCAUUCUAACAAGGACAGAGAACUGAAACACUGGCUUAUCAUCUCUCGGCUUUUCUACCCAACACAAGAGUUUUUCUACAUUCCUUGUAUGACUGUCAUGCUUCCAGUUAUAGAAGUUGGAAAGACUUCUGUAUUCUGGCAACUGACUGAAUCUGACCCUACGAUAUAUACCAAGGAAAUGGCUCCUACCUGGAAACUGACUCAGUGUGUGAAAACAGUUUGGACAUGCCCAUGAUUUUGUCCCUAACCAAUCAGCAGCAUCCAUUUCUUAGAACCCUGCCGAUUAAAUUAUCCUUAAAAACCCAAGCCUCUGAGCUUUCAGGGAAGCAAAUUUAACAAAUGUCUGCUGUCCUUUUGCUUGGCUGGCCCUGAGAUAAUUAAACUCUUUUGCUGCAAUACUUGCUGUUCUUAAUGUAUUGGUUUUUCUGGGCAGUGGACAAAAUGAACCCAUUGGGUUGUUACAUCAUGUAAUCCAAGCAAAACCUAAUAGUGGCUGUUUAGUAGUAAUGGGAGCUUUAAGAAGUGGAUGGAUUGUUCUUUAAAACAGAAAG
rnacentral:lncRNA from 13 species